rnacentral:rRNA from 1 species
GACGAACGCUGGCGGCGUGCUUAACACAUGCAAGUCACGGGGCCGCAAGGGUAACGGCGAACGGGUGCGUAACACGUGAGCAACCUGCCUUUGUGUGGGGGAGUAGCCGGGCUAACGCCCAGGUAAUACCGCAUACGGUUCUCGAGGGGAGUCCCUUGGGAAAGAAACCUCCGGGGCACAAAGAGGGGCUCGCGGCCUAUCAGCUAGUUGGCGGGGUAAUGGCCCACCAAGGCAUCGACGGGUAGCUGGUCNGAGAGGAUGGCCAGCCACAUUGGGACUGAGAUACGGCCCAGACUCCUACGGGAGGCAGCAGUGGGGAAUAUUGCGCAAUGGCCGCAAGGCUGACGCAGCGACGCCGCGUGUGGGAUGACGCCUUUCGGGUGUAACCACUGUUGCCGGGACGAAUAUCCUGUAUAGACAGGAUUG